rnacentral:lncRNA from 12 species
GGGACGUAAGGCAAAAUGUACAGCUCUUGGCAUCCAGACCAGAAGGGCCAGUUGUGACCUGGAGGCCAGCCAAUGUCAACUAACCAGGUGCCCGAGGUCACACAUACGGCACGGGUCUCACGCACAACAUUCUUUGGCUCGGGGGUGGUCAGUUAUGCAGGACAAAUCGCUGAGGCCUCCACCAUGUAGGACAAUGGUUUAGAUACAAUGGCUUCAAAAAUUAUGGAGUUAAAAAGGAUCAUUGCUGAGACUUGGAGUAAGGGAGAGAUUGAUGUGAGGAUCUACACAGCAAGGAAGAGCAUAAGAAACAUAAGUGAGAAAUCUGCCUCUCAGAACUGAAAAUGUGUUCUGAAAUUCAUUUGCAUCAGCAUUGAAGCAUCUUCAAGUAAGGUAAGAUUACCAACAAAUUGCCAACACUAGUGCUUUGGGUAUAUUUAAAGAAUUUUUCCUCUGGCAUUCUAGUUUAUCACUGGAUUUUUCUUCUAUAAACACAAAGAUCUAUCCUCCUUGGAUGUGAGAAAUUUUAUUGCAAAACAAUCAGUAAAGACACCUUGAUGUACCAUCUGGAAUUAAAGAGAAUUGAAGGGAAAAAAUGCGGAAAGGUUGAAAAACAACCAAAUCGAUGCAGUGUAGAAAAAAAAUUGCUUGAGAUGGGAUGUAAUUGAAUAAAGAUAUACAUGGUGUAGAUAAUGUCA